UCGGCAAUGGACGAAAGUCUGACCGAGCAACGCCGCGUGUGCGAUGAAGGCCUUCGGGUUGUAAAGCACUGUCGAGGGGAAACAAGCCGUAAGGUUGAGUGACCCCUGGAGGAAGCACGGGCUAAGUUCGUGCCAGCAGCCGCGGUAAGACGAACCGUGCAAACGUUAUUCGGAAUCACUGGGCUUAAAGGGCGCGUAGGCGGGUGAUCAAGUCAAUGGUGAAAUCCUCCAGCUUAACUGGAGAAGUGCCUUUGAUACUGAUUGUCUAGAGGGAGGUAGGGGCAUGUGGAACUUCAGGUGGAGCGGUGAAAUGCGUAGAUAUCUGAAGGAACGCCAGUGGCGAAAGCGAUGUGCUGGACCUCUUCUGACGCUGAGGCGCGAAAGCUAGGGGAUCAAACGGGAUUAGAUACCCCGGUAGUCCUAGCCGUAAACACUGAACACUCGAGGAGGGGGGCUUCGGCCUUCUUCUUCUUAGCGAAAGCGUUAAGUGUUCCGCCUGGGGAGUAUGGUCGCAAGGCUGAAACUCAAAGGA
rnacentral:rRNA from 1 species